AGAACAGAGGUUCUACUCUUUUAUGAUUGGCUGUACACAAACAAGACAUGGAAUAUAAAUACAAAUGGAAACAGAUGAUCCUUCACAACCUUCACAUCAACAACACCAGCUGACACUGAAUUUGCACAGCAACAUCAUCGACGCUGCCUCAGCUGCCACAGAUUCAGAAGCACCUGUAGAACCGGAGUAUCUGCCAUCGAGCCGAGGAAUCCAGAGCACCGCGACAUCAAGAGAUAUACAAGAUGGCUGCUCAAAGAUUCAAUUACGAUGAAGGACUGAGUGACAACGGAAAAAAAAUGUUUCGAGAGAAAACAGUGAGAGUCAAUCAAGACAAGCUCUAUUAUGAUGAAAGAGAAGGGAAAAAAUGGGACCUCCAAUUUGGUAGCUCACUUGUUGAAGACUGGCUGAAGGUAAUGAGGAAGAAAUAUCCCAACCUUCAGGAAAUUAAACAGGACGGUCAAAUCAGACUAAAGUCCAAGGAAGGUGACGGUACCAUAAGCUUGUAUCCUUACGUAAGAGUUCUGGUACGUGGCCAAAUAAUGGAAACGUUUGAGAGAGAUUUUCAAGAAAUGAGACAAGAAGUCCAGGAUGGCGCCUUAACAGCAAGAAUGGGAGGAAUGACCUUAACUAAUGAUGGAGGAUGUCCUGAUGAGCCUGUUGGGGAAGGGGCCUCUGCCCACCCCAGCAAAACUCCAACCCCGGCUCCCCGCUGAUGUUCAAUAUAUUGUCUGAUGAAUGAGUAAUUAUAUACCCCCCCUCAAAAAAAUAAAAAAAUGGUACUAUGUUGUAAAAUCAAUUACAUUUUUUUCCUGAUUUUUGCAGUACAUUUGUCUUGUACUGUGCAUCUCUAUAAUUUCUGCUCCUGGUGUUUAUAUAUUGUUUUAGAAAUGUGUCACAAGAGUCACAAAUGUAAUGUUAGAGGUGUAAUGAUGUAUCUUCUGUUUAUGUCCUACGACACUUUAUUCUGUGUGCCGGUCAUGGAGGACGUUAAGAGCAGUCUUGUACUCACUGAGCAGGUGGUAGUUUGAGUCUCUCUCAUAUUUGAAGGUCAGUCUUCCAUAGCUGACAUGGUUGAGAUUCUUCAGCCACUCGAAAUAAGACACUGUCACACCGCCAGCAUUCAGGUACAUGUCCUGCAGGAUGAAACACCAUAAAUAUCUGCCCCUUUGGAACAGUCUUCACUCAUCUGUGUGUACAAUUAUUCUGAUUAGCUUUCCUCUGUGCUGUAAAAAUGUUUGUGAGAUUUGAUUUGGGAAGCAAAUGAUUUUUUUUUUUCCCCUGUAAAAUAAA